rnacentral:lncRNA from 1 species
CGGCCUUGGGCAUCACGGCCAGCCGGGCGCGGUACUUUGUGUGCGCGUCCUUGAGCGGCAGUUUCUUGGGCGUCGACACGGCGCCCUUGACCUUUUUGGCCGUCUUGGGCGCGCUGGACGAUGAUGAUGACGAUCCGGCCUUGGCCUUGCUCGUGGGCUUUUUCGUCGCCUUGCUGGUGGCGCCCUUGGUGGCGCUGGCCUUGGUCGAUGGUGUCUUUUUGGCGUUGGCGCCCGUCGUCUUUUUCGACGCCGGUUUGCCCGCGGCCUUGGUCGAUGACUUGGCAGAUGCCUUGGCCGUGGUCUUGGACGACCCGCUUGCGCCACUCUUUUUCGUCUUGGCCGACCCGCUCGUGGCACUCUUUUUCGUCUUGGUCGAGGACGACGUGCGCGCCCUCUUGGCCGGCGGUUCGCCGCUGGCCGCAAUGGCCUCCUUGGCCGCCGUCGAGGCCGCGCGCUUGCGGGCCUUUUUCUUCUCGGCAAUGGCCCUCGCCUGGGCCGACGCGACGCGCGCCUCGGCCUGACCCGUGGCCGAUGUCGCGUGGAUGAUCUCG